rnacentral:pre_miRNA from 1 species
CUGCUUGCCGGCCGAUCGCUGUCUUACCAGACAAAUUUAGAUCUUAAUCUAUCGCUGUCUAAUACUGUCUGGUAAUGCCGUCGAUUUGC